GUGGGGAAUAUUGCACAAUGGGCGAAAGCCUGAUGCAGCAACGCCGCGUGAGGGAAGACGGUUUUCGGAUUGUAAACCUCUGUUUUCGGUGACGAACAAAUGACGGUAACCGAGUAGGAAGCCACGGCUAACUACGUGCCAGCAGCCGCGGUAAUACGUAGGUGGCAAGCGUUAUCCGGAAUUACUGGGUGUAAAGGGAGCGCAGGCGGGAUAGCAAGUCAGCUGUGAAAACUAUGGGCUCAACCCAUAAACUGCAGUUGAAACUGUUAUUCUUGAGUGGAGUAGAGGCAAGCGGAAUUCCGAGUGUAGCGGUGAAAUGCGUAGAUAUUCGGAGGAACACCAGUGGCGAAGGCGGCUUGCUGGGCUCUAACUGACGCUGAGGCUCGAAAGUGUGGGGAGCAAACAGGAUUAGAAACCCUAGUAGUCC
rnacentral:rRNA from 1 species